rnacentral:rRNA from 1 species
AGGACCCUUUAAUUAGAUCAUACCAACCCACUUUGUGGAGUCCUGGUGAUUCAUAGUAACCGAACGGAUCGCAAUUGGCUUCGGCCCCGCGAUAGAUCUUUCAAGUUUCUGACCUAUCAGCUUUCGACGGUAGGGUAUUGGCCUACCGUGGCAGUGACGGGUAACGGGGAAUUAGGGUUCGAUUCCGGAGAGGGAGCCUGAGAAACGGCUACCACAUCUAAGGAAGGCAGCAGGCGCGCAAAUUACCCAAUGAAAACAGUUUCGAGGUAGUGACGAGAAAUAACAAUACAGGGCAUUUUAUGCUCUGUAAUUGGAAUGAUGGGAAUGUAAAACCCUUCCAGAGUAACAAUUGGAGGGCAAGUCUGGUGCCAGCAGCCGCGGUAAUUCCAGCUCCAAUAGUGUAUAUUAGAGUUGUUGCAGUUAAAAAGCUCGUAGUUGGAUUUCUGCUGUGGUCAUCCGGUACCGCCCGUAUGGGUGCGCACCUGGUUUGGCUGCGGCUUUCUUCCUGUAGCCGUCCGCGCUUAAUUGCGUGUGUUGUGUUACGGAACUUUUACUUUGAGAAAAAUAGAGUGUUUCAAGCAGGCUUGUCGCCCUGAAUACUUCAGCAUGGAAUAAUAGGAUAGGACCUUGGUUCUAUUUUGUUGGUUUCUAGGACCAAGGUAAUGAUUAAUAGGGACAGUUGGGGGCAUUCGUAUUUAACUGUCAGAGGUGAAAUUCUUAGAUUUGUUAAAGACGAACUACUGCGAAAGCAUUUGCCAAGGAUGUUUUCAUUAAUCAAGAACGACAGUAGGGGGUUGGAAAGACGAUAAACCCCCCCCCC